ensembl:snRNA U6 U6 spliceosomal RNA
GUAUGCACUUUGUAGCACAGAUACUAAAAUUUUAAUGAUACAGAUAAGAUGACAAUGUCCAAUGUGCAAGGAAGAGAAACGAACUAAAGAAAUGUUCCAUAUUUUU